rnacentral:tRNA from 1 species
GUCACCAUAGUUUCAAUUGGUAAAACCUCUGACUUCCAAUCAGAUGUUGUGAGUUCGAGCCUCACUGGUGACU